UCUUCAUUCAUCCACUUCUCAAAAGCAGCUCUCUGUUCAAUAGUAGGACGGUUUGGUAAUACAACGAAAUCCUGAUCGAGAACAUAGAUUAACUUUUCUGAGGUCAGGAUAAUCUUGAGAUUUCGAGCCAGUCUUUAUAAUUAUUAUCGAUCAAACGAUUGGUUUCAAGGAUGUAAGCUAGAGGGUUUGAGGCUGACAUAAUGGUUUAACUGUGAGAGUAGAGAUUCAAGUUAGACUUUUGUACUUAAUAUUUUAAUUUACUUCUAGAGACUUUAAGAUGCAAAUAAUGACUCCCACU
rnacentral:lncRNA from 1 species